UACAGAGGGUGCAAACGUUGCUCGGAAUCACUGGGCGUAAAGGGCGCGUAGGCGGGAAGGAAAGUCAGAUGUGAAAUCCCUGGGCUCAACCCAGGAACUGCAUUUGAAACUCCCUUUCUUGAGUGCCGGAGAGGAAAGCGGAAUUCCUGGUGUAGAGGUGAAAUUCGUAGAUAUCAGGAGGAACACCGGUGGCGAAGGCAGGUCUCUGGGCCACUACUGACGCUGAGAAGCGAAAGCAUGGGGAGCGAACAGG
rnacentral:rRNA from 1 species